CUACGGGUGGCUCCAGCCGAGGAAAUUUUACAAUGCACGAAAGUGUGAUAGAAUAAGCCAGAGUGUUUCUCCUAGAGAAACUUUUGCCAAAUGUAAAAAGUUUGGCGAAUAAGGACUGGGCAAGACCGGUGCCAGCCGCCGCGGUAAUACCGGCGGUCCGAGUCGCAUCCAUAUUUAUUGGGUCUAAAACAUUCGUAGCUUGUUUUGUAAGUUUCUUGUGAAAUCUCAUAUCUUAAGUAUGAGGCGCGCAAGAAAUACUACAUUACUAAGAGACCGGAAGACGUAAGGAGUACAUUUGAGGUAGCGGUAAAAUGUGUUAAUCUCAAAUGGACUAACAAUGGCGAAGGCACCUUACGAGUACGGAUCUGACAGUGAGGGAUGAAGGCUAGGGUCGCGAAAGGGAUUAGAUACCCCCGUAGUC
rnacentral:rRNA from 1 species